rnacentral:rRNA from 1 species
UCGGUCUUGCGAUCUGAACCUGAGAGUUUGAUCCUGGCUCAGAACGAACGCUGGCGGCAUGCCUAACACAUGCAAGUCGAACGAAGGCUUCGGCCUUAGUGGCGCACGGGUGAGUAACACGUGGGAACCUGCCUUAUGGUUCGGAAUAACGUCUGGAAACGGACGCUAACACCGGAUGUGCCCUUCGGGGGAAAGUUUACGCCAUGAGAGGGGCCCGCGUCGGAUUAGGUAGUUGGUGUGGUAACGGCGCACCAAGCCGACGAUCCGUAGCUGGUCUGAGAG